rnacentral:rRNA from 1 species
AUUGAACGCUGGCGGUAUGCCUUACACAUGCAAGUCGAACGGUAACAGGUCUUCGGAUGCUGACGAGUGGCGAACGGGUGAGUAAUACAUCGGAACGUGCCUAGUAGUGGGGGAUAACUACUCGAAAGAGUGGCUAAUACCGCAUGAGAUCUACGGAUGAAAGCAGGGGAUCGCAAGACCUUGUGCUACUAGAGCGGCCGAUGGCAGAUUAGGUAGUUGGUGGGAUAAAAGCUUACCAAGCCGACGAUCUGUAGCUGGUCUGAGAGGACGAUCAGCCACACUGGGACUGGGACACGGCCCAGACUCCUCCGGGAGGCAGCAGUGGGGAAUUUUGGACAAUGGGCGCAAGCCUGAUCCAGCAAUGCCGCGUGCAGGAUGAAGGCCUUCGGGUUGUAAACUGCUUUUGUACGGAACGAAAAGCCCUGGGUUAAUACCCUGGGGUCAUGACGGUACCGUAAGAAUAAGCACCGGCUAACUACGUGCCAGCAGCCGCCGUAAUAC